rnacentral:rRNA from 1 species
UACGUAGGGUGCGAGCGUUACUCGGAAUUACUGGGCGUAAAGCGUGCGCAGGCGGUUUUGUAAGCCAGAUGUGAAAGCCCCGGGCUUAACCUGGGAAUGGCAUUUGGGACUGCAAGGCUUGAGUGCGGCAGAGGAGACUGGAAUUCCUGGUGUAGCAGUGAAAUGCGUAGAUAUCGGGAGGAACACCUGUGGCGAAGGCGGCCGCCUGGUUGGAUACUGACGCUGAGACGCGAAAGCGUGGGGAGCAAACAGG